rnacentral:rRNA from 1 species
GAUGAACGCUGGCGGCGUGCCUAAUACAUGCAAGUCGAGCGAACGGACGAGAAGCUUGCUUUUCUGAUGUUAGCGGCGGACGGGUGAGUAACACGUGGAUAACCUACCUAUAAGACUGGGAUAACUUCGGGAAACCGGAGCUAAUACCGGAUAAUAUUUUGAACCGCAUGGUUCAAAAGUGAAAGACGGUCUUGCUGUCACUUAUAGAUGGAUCCGCGCUGCAUUAGCUAGUUGGUAAGGUAACGGCUUACCAAGGCAACGAUGCAUAGCCGACCUGAGAGGGUGAUCGGCCACACUGGAACUGAGACACGGUCCAGACUCCUACGGGAGGCAGCAGUAGGGAAUCUUCCGCAAUGGGCGAAAGCCUGACGGAGCAACGCCGCGUGAGUGAUGAAGGUCUUCGGAUCGUAAAACUCUGUUAUUAGGGAAGAACAUAUGUGUAAGUAACUGUGCACAUCUUGACGGUACCUAAUCAGAAAGCCACGGCUAACUACGUGCCAGCAGCCGCGGUAAUACGUAGGUGGCAAGCGUUAUCCGGAAUUAUUGGGCGUNAAGCGCGCGUAGCGGUUUUUUAAGUCUGAUGUGAAAGCCCACGGCUCAACCGUGGAGGGUCAUUGGAAACUGGAAAACUUGAGUGCAGAAGAGGAAAGUGGAAUUCCAUGUGUAGCGGUGAAAUGCGCAGAGAUAUGGAGGAACACCAGUGGCGAAGGCGACUUUCUGGUCUGUAACUGACGCUGAUGUGCGAAAGCGUGGGGAUCAAACAGGAUUAGAUACCCUGGUAGUCCACGCCGUAAACGAUGAGUGCUAAGUGUUAGGGGGUUUCCGCCCCUUAGUGCUGCAGCUAACGCAUUAAGCACUCCGCCUGGGGAGUACGACCGCAAGGUUGAAACUCAAAGGAAUUGACGGGGACCCGCACAAGCGGUGGAGCAUGUGGUUUAAUUCGAAGCAACGCGAAGAACCUUACCAAAUCUUGACAUCCUUUGACAACUCUAGAGAUAGAGCCUUCCCCUUCGGGGGACAAAGUGACAGGUGGUGCAUGGUUGUCGUCGGCUCGUGUCGUGAGAUGUUGGGUUAAGUCCCGCAACGAGCGCAACCCUUAAGCUUAGUUGCCAUCAUUAAGUUGGGCACUCUAAGUUGACUGCCGGUGACAAACCGGAGGAAGGUGGGGAUGACGUCAAAUCAUCAUGCCCCUUAUGAUUUGGGCUACACACGUGCUACAAUGGACAAUACAAAGGGCAGCGAAACCGCGAGGUCAAGCAAAUCCCAUAAAGUUGUUCUCAGUUCGGAUUGUAGUCUGCAACUCGACUACAUGAAGCUGGAAUCGCUAGUAAUCGUAGAUCAGCAUGCUACGGUGAAUACGUUCCCGGGUCU